rnacentral:lncRNA from 1 species
UGGGGGAGCCACAAGGAAGUCUGUCAGGAACAUUGCUUUUCUGAGUAGUCAGUAAUUCCCAACUUAAUUUAUUAAUCACAUUAUCAUAGCAUACAUUACAUAUGAUCUGAAACCAGUAGCAACCCAUAUUUCGAUCACAAAUAUAUCAGAGUUUAUAGUUUGUUGAAUAUAAUUAAGAUUUUGAAAUCUUAAACACAGUAGUGCCUUUAGUAAUAGUACCACACAUAUCAGCACAC